UACGUAGGUGGCAAGCGUUGUCCGGAAUUACUGGGUGUAAAGGAUGCGUAGGCGGAUAUGUAAGUCAGAUGUGAAACCCCCGGGCUUAACCCGGGGCAUGCAUUUGAGACUGCAUAUCUAGAGUGCAGGAGAGGAAAGCGGAAUUCCUAGUGUAGCGGUGAAAUGCGUAGAUAUUAGGAAGAACACCAGUGGCGAAGGCGGCUUUCUGGACUGUAACUGACGCUGAUGCAUGAAAGCGUGGGGAGCAAAC
rnacentral:rRNA from 1 species